AUUCGGGAUCAUACCAGCACUAAUAUACCGGAUCCCAUCAGAAUUCUACGGUUAAGCGUGUUUAGACGAGAGUAGUAAUAGGAUGGGUGACCUCCAGGAAAGUUCUCGUGUUGCACACC
rnacentral:rRNA from 1 species